UUUCAUUUACUUGGGUUUGGUUUAUUUUGAUUAUACUUGAGGUAAAGAUUGAUUGACAGUUUUUUUUUUACACUCUGCACAGUACUACUUUACAUGCUUAUUUCCUCUGUAACCUUAUGCGGUCGUUGCUGUAUAAACCAUCUAGUAGGCUAUAUUGUCAUAUUUUAUUGAGAUUUCUUUAUUUAUACUUACUGUUUUUAUACUUUGUUGGACAGUCGUGCAAUACAUUUCAAAACUUCUUGGUCUAUGUAUUGGUGUACUUUGUGUGUAUGUGCCAAAAGAAAUUGAUAACAAACCAAUGUUGAGUAGUACCACUAGGAGAAAGAAGAAACGUGUACCAUCUUUUUGAAACUGACCCAGAUAAACAGCGCAGAGCCUAAAGCUCUAAACAUGGAAAACGGUAAAGAAAAAUAAAUGCAACCAGAUGUUUAAAGCUUCAUCAACGGACUUGACAACCACAUGUCUGCUUACACAAAUAGUAUUCUGCUCUGAGGUCCAUGUCCAGUUUGAUAAAAGGAAGGCUUCCAGCUCUCAGGAGACCCAAGGGGAGGUUUGUUUUGAUGCCGCUCGAACUCUGCUUCAAACAUUUCUCCCGUUUUAAUCAAACAUGUGCGGUCACUGUACGCAUGUUCAGUAGUUAAACCUCCUUCAAUGAUAGACAGGUUUUUCUUAACUGCACAGCAAGAGCCCAGAUAACAAGAGCGCAUCACGCGCUGCAUGAAAUACUAACCGACUUCAAGGAAGCUUCAGCGCACUUAGAGUCCAUGAUUGACACCAAAAGGUGAAUGAUGUAUUUAUGUUUGUCCUUUGCCAUAACCAUGACCACUGGCAGCUGCUCUUCACUUAGAAAACUCAGACUUUCUGUCUUUGUCUAUUGUACAGUCUGGUGUAUGUCUCAUCUCUAAAGCAGUCAAGCUCAACUUUUAUCUGCAAGUUGGAAAACAUUUUAAUCAAGUUAACUAACACAUGGAGUGGGAACAUUUUGAAUGAUUAAUUUUCUAUUAAUUAUUUUCUAUUAGAAUUCAGGCUUCCAGUAAUCUGGUAACCUCUAAUUUGUUUGGCUGUUUACAGAAAAAGAAAACAGAUAAUCAUAAGUCCUUCAAGCUUAAAUGGAGAUGACAGACUUUUGGUUUUUACCGAAAACAAUCACAAAAUACAAGAAAAAGAAAAGAACAAAUACACUCUAAAAACUCCGCAGUUAAAAAUAAGUUAAGCUGGGUUGUUCAUUUUUUUUUCUAAACAUUUUUUCUGGGUUACUUUAACUCAGAAAAAAAAACAAAAUAGAGUUAGGAUGAAAGCACUAUAAACCAAAAAGAAUAGUUUUGCUCCAAAAGUGUGUGUUUACUGUGGAGAUGCUUGAUGUCAUGUUUUCACAAACAGAACUGAAGCUAAUUUACUACGUUUCCAGCAAGAAUGUGGCUGUUUAAACCGCUAUGGAAUCUAUCAACAACACUUUCAGAGUUUUCAACAAUCUGGUCUUCUUGUAGUUGCUGCUUGAAAAGUCAGAUCGUUUGAAUCCUCAAGAAAAGUCUUAGUUGACCUGUUACAGGCAACCGUCUAUCAAGUGUUAUGUCUAUUUUAAUUGCUGCCUGAACGCAGAGCAUACAUUCUUUAUCUACCUAAACAAACACUUUCUUCAUCUUAAUGUGUGUUCUUUCUUUAUUGUAGGAAGUAUGUUGAAUAUUCCAUUUUAAUAGACAUUCAAAGUAAUGGAAAAUGUCCCCAUUUGACUGUUUCACUUAGAUUUUAUUCUGCUUUCUGUUAUUCUACUAUCAAGUUCUUAUUCGUCUUUACAACCAACAACAUUUCACUGUAGUGAGCUGUUUUACAUGAAGAGCUUUAUUCAGAUUUCUAAUAUAUGAAAAUCUGAAAGCAUUUUUUAGACAUAAACGUAAUAAAGUCAAGCUUUUGAGGAUUUUUGUAAGGCCUCAACCUUUAGUAGGAUGCUUAGAGAUCUAUUUACUAACUAAACUGGUUCAUUUCUAAAAAUAAAAAUAAAAAAAAUGUAAGCAGUAUCUUUAAAAGGGGUUUUGUGCCAAAUCAUGGCAUUUUCCUAAACUUUCAUCUAAUCUUAAUCUCAUUUUGUAUUGCUUAUCCACAAAGACAUGAGACAAACUGGUUUCCAACAAGCUGAGGAGUCCAGGGACCACAGAUCUUCUUGGUUACUUAUAGCUUGUGAGGGAGUGAAACAUCCUUCCUAGGAAUCCUUCAAAAUCAAAUUCCAAAGGAUCAACAGUCGAGGAGAAAGAAGAAAAAAAAGUCAGAAAAGUCCAAUGACAGCUGAGGGGUUCUACACCAAAGAGGUACAUCAACAGUCAAGUACAACAAAUGUAAAGAAUAAAGGCCAACAGAAAAAAACAUAGAAGCCAUUCGCUUCUAUGCUGUGACUGGUUUUGUGUUACUGCAAAGGUUUUUAGAGGCCAAGGAAACAGAAAAAAA